CUGGCGGGUGGGCUGCUGGCGAGGGAGCACUUCCUAUGAGCUGAUAGGAAGUGCUCCCUCGCCAGCAGCCCGCCCGCCAG